rnacentral:rRNA from 1 species
GAUGAACGCUGGCGGCGUGCCUAAUACAUGCAAGUCGAGCGAACGGACGAGAAGCUUGCUUCUCUGAUGUUAGCGGCGGACGGGUGAGUAACACGUGGAUAACCUACCUAUAAGACUGGGAUAACUUCGGGAAACCGGAGCUAAUACCGGAUGAUAUUUUGAACCGCAUGGUUCAAAAGUGAAAGACGGUCUUGCUGUCACUUAUAGAUGGAUCCGCGCUGCAUUAGCUAGUUGGUAAGGUAACGGCUUACCAAGGAAACGAUGCAUAGCCGACCUGAGAGGGUGAUCGGCCACACUGGAACUGAGACACGGUCCAGACUCCUACGGGAGGCAGCAGUAGGGAAUCUUCCGCGAUGGGCGAAAGCCUGACGGAGCAACGCCGCGUGAGUGAUGAAGGUCUUCGGAUCGUAAAACUCUGUUAUUAGGGAAGAACAUAUGUGUAAGUAACUGUGCACAUCUUGACGGUACCUAAUCAGAAAGCCACGGCUAACUACGUG